rnacentral:rRNA from 1 species
AGCUUGCUAGAAGAUGACGAGCGGCGGACGGGUGAGUAACGCGUAGAAAUCUACCUAGUAGUGGGGGAUAGCCCAGAGAAAUUUGGAUUAAUACCGCAUACGCCCUACGGGGGAAANCGGGGGAUCUUCGGACCUCGUGCUAUUAGAUGAGUCUGCGUCGGAUUAGCUUGUUGGUGAGGUAAUGGCUCACCAAGGCGACGAUCCGUAGCUGGUCUGAGAGGAUGACCAGCCACACUGGAACUGAGACACGGUCCAGACUCCUACGGGAGGCAGCAGUGGGGAAUAUUGCACAAUGGGCGCAAGCCUGAUGCAGCCAUGCCGCGUGUGUGAAGAAGGCCUUAGGGUUGUAAAGCACUUUCAGCAGUGAGGAAAGGGGUGUCGUUAAUAGCGCCAUCCUGUGACGUUAACUGCAGAAGAAGGACCGGCUAACUCCGUG